rnacentral:rRNA from 1 species
UACGAAGGGGGCUAGCGUUGUUCGGAAUUACUGGGCGUAAAGGGCGCGUAGGCGGCCUACUAAGUCGGACGUGAAAUCCCUCGGCUCAACCGGGGAACUGCGUCCGAUACUGGUGGGCUCGAAUCCGGGAGAGGGAUGUGGAAUUCCAGGUGUAGCGGUGAAAUGCGUAGAUAUCUGGAGGAACACCGGUGGCGAAGGCGGCAUCCUGGACCGGUAUUGACGCUGAUGCGCGAAAGCCAGGGGAGCAAACGGG